rnacentral:rRNA from 1 species
UGAGCAAUCUGCCCUUCACAUCGGAAUAACCAUUGGAAACGAUGGCUAAUACCGAAUAUGACUUCGGAUCGCAUGAUCUGAAGUGGAAAGCUCCGGCGGUGAAGGAUGAGCUCGCGGCCUAUCAGCUUGUUGGUGGGGUAAUGGCCCACCAAGGCAACGACGGGUAGCCGGCCUGAGAGGGUGACCGGCCACACUGGGACUGAGACACGGCCCAGACCUNUACGGGAG